UGGUUCUGGCAUCGAUGAAGAACGCAGCGAAAUGCGAUAAGUAAUGUGAAUUGCAGAAUUCAGUGAAUCAUCGAAUCUUUGAACGCACAUUGCGCCCUUUGGUAUUCCGAAGGGCAUGCUUGUUCGAGCGUCAUUAAACCCCCUCAAGCCUCGCUUGGUGUUGGGCGCCCCGGGGGAGACCCGGCGCCCUAAUGACCCCGGCUGGUCGUCGCCUAUCCUAGCGUUGUGGACAACUGAUUCGCUACGGGGACGGUGCGGCCAAUGCCGUUAAACCUCUAUCCAUGGUUGACCUCGGAUCAAGUAGGAAUACCCGCUGA
rnacentral:misc_RNA from 1 species